GGGGCUGACCGGUUUUGACAGCGGGUUUAGAGUCUUGAGGUAAGCAUGCCGAGGGUUGUAAGGGACCUCGUAAAACGGAACUUUCAAACUACAAAUGGCAAUAAUAGCUACGCACUCGCUGCGUAAUUUUACCGAGUAAAAUUACCUUAAUCCGCCCGGUCAAGGAACCGGGCCGACGAGUACCCGCCGGAAGGGGACCGCUUUUAGCCUCGGUCGGCAAUGGGUAUCAAUCAAUUAAAAGAUAGCUUUCCGGCAGUCCGGACCGGAAAGCGAAAAUAAACGGACUACGGAACCGGUUCGGGUGUUUCCCCCCUGGCCUUUUCCCGACAAUCAAGCGGAAACUAAGCAUGUAGAAAGCUUCGGGGUUCCUCGUUUGGACGAGGGUUCGAUUCCCUCCAGCUCCAC
rnacentral:tmRNA from 1 species